rnacentral:tRNA from 1 species
GUGGGUAUAGCUCAAGGUGGUAGAGUGCAUGCUUAGCAUGCAUGAGGUCCCGGGUUCAAUCCCCAGUACCUCCU